UUAUGGCUCAGGAUGAACGCUAGCUACAGGCUUAACACAUGCAAGUCGAGGGGCAGCAUGAUCGAAGCUUGCUUGAUGAUGGCGACCGGCGCACGGGUGAGUAACGCGUAUCCAACCUUCCCUAUAGUAGAGAAUAGCCCGGUGAAAAUCGGAUUAAUGCUCUAUGUUAUUCAAUGCGGACAUCUAAGUUGAAUCAAAGGUUUACCGCUAUAGGAUGGGGAUGCGUCUGAUUAGGUUGUUGGCGGGGUAACGGCCCACCAAGCCCACGAUCAGUAGGGGUUCUGAGAGGAAGGUCCCCCACAUUGGAACUGAGACACGGUCCAAACUCCUACGGGAGGCAGCAGUGAGGAAUAUUGGUCAAUGGACGAAAGUCUGAACCAGCCAAAAGUAGCGUGCAGGAUGACGGCCCUAUGGGUUGUAAACUGCUUUUAUACAGGGAUAAAGUCGGGGACGUGUUCCCGUUUGUAGGUACUGUAUGAAUAGGGACCGGCUAAUUCCGUGCCAGCCGCCGC
rnacentral:rRNA from 1 species